rnacentral:rRNA from 1 species
CGUGUAGGCGGCCGGCCAAGUCGGAUGUGAAAGCCCUCGGCUUAACCGAGGAAGUGCGUUCGAAACUAGCUGGCUUGAGUACCGGAGAGGGUGGUGGAAUUCCCGGUGUAGAGGUGAAAUUCGUAGAUAUCGGGAGGAACACCAGUGGCGAAGGCGACCACCUGGACGGAUACUGACGCUGAGACGCGAAAGCGUGGGGAGCAAACAGGAUUAGAUACCCUGGUAGUCCACGCCGUAAACGAUGAGCGCUAGGUGUUGCGGGUGUUGACCCCUGCAGUGCCGAAGCUAACGCAUUAAGCGCUCCGCCUGGGAAGUACGGCCGCAAGGCUAAA